CACGUAGGGUGCAAGCGUUGUCCGGAAUCAUUGGGCGUAAAGAGCUCGUAGGCGGCUUAGUAAGUCGGGUGUGAAAACCCCAGGCUCAACCUGGGGACGCCACCCGAUACUGCUAUAGCUAGAGUCCAGUAGGGGAGUGUGGAAUUCCCAGUGUGGCGGUGUAAUGCGCAGAUAUUGGGAGGAACACCAGCGGCGAAGGCGGCACUCUGGGCUGGUACUGACGCUGAGGAGCGAAAGCGUGGGUAGCGAACAGG
rnacentral:rRNA from 1 species